UGACCUCGGAUCAGGUAGGGAUACCCGCUGAACUUAAGCAUAUCAAUAAGCGGAGGAAAAGAAACCAACAGGGAUUGCCUCAGUAACGGCGAGUGAAGCGGCAAGAGCUCAAAUUUGAAAGCUGGCUCCUUCGGGGUCCGCAUUGUAAUUUGCAGAGGAUGCUUCGGGAGCGGUCCCCAUCUAAGUGCCCUGGAACGGGACGUCAUAGAGGGUGAGAAUCCCGUAUGGGAUGGGGUGUCCGCGCCCGUGUNAAGCUCCUUCGACGAGUCGAGUUGUUUGGGAAUGCAGCUCUAAAUGGGUGGUAAAUUUCAUCUAAAGCUAAAUAUUGGCCGGAGACCGAUAGCGCACAAGUAGAGUGAUCGAAAGAUGAAAAGCACUUUGAAAAGAGAGUUAAAAAGCACGUGAAAUUGUUGAAAGGGAAGCGCUUGCGACCAGACUCGCUCGCGGGGUUCAGCCGGCAUUCGUGCCGGUGUACUUCCCCGCGGGCGGGCCAGCGUCGGUUUGGGCGGUCGGUCAAAGGCCCUCGGAAGGUAACGCCCCCUCGGGGGCGUCUUAUAGCCGAGGGUGCAAUGCGACCUGCCCGGACCGAGGAACGCGCUUCGGCUCGGACGCUGGCAUAAUGGUCGUAAGCG
rnacentral:rRNA from 1 species